rnacentral:rRNA from 1 species
UAAUAGAUACCCAGGUAGUCCACGCCGUAAACGAUGUCGACUUGGAGGUUGUUCCCUUGAGGAGUGGCUUCCGGAGCUAACGCGUUAAGUCGACCGCCUGGGGAGUACGGCCGCAAGGUUAAAACUCAAAUGAAUUGACGGGGGCCCGCACAAGCGGUGGAGCAUGUGGUUUAAUUCGAUGCAACGCGAAGAACCUUACCUACUCUUGACAUCCACGGAACUUUUCAGAGAUGAAUUGGUGCCUUCGGGAACCGUGAGACAGGUGCUGCAUGGCUGUCGUCAGCUCGUGUUGUGAAAUGUUGGGUUAAGUCCCGCAACGAGCGCAACCCUUAUCCUUUGUUGCCAGCGGUUAGGCCGGGAACUCAAAGGAGACUGCCAGUGAUAAACUGGAGGAAGGUGGGGAUGACGUCAAGUCAUCAUGGCCCUUACGAGUAGGGCUACACACGUGCUACAAUGGCGCAUACAAAGAGAAGCGACCUCGCGAGAGCAAGCGGACCUCAUAAAGUGCGUCGUAGUCCGGAUUGGAGU